ACUCCUACGGGAGGCAGCAGUGGGGAAUAUUGCACAAUGGGCGCAAGCCUGAUGCAGCCAUGCCGCGUGUAUGAAGAAGGCCUUCGGGUUGUAAAGUACUUUCAGCAGUGAGGAAGGCAGGUACGUUAAUAGCGUGCUUGUUUGACGUUAGCUGCAGAAGAAGCACCGGCUAACUCCGUGCCAGCAGCCGCGGUAAUACGGAGGGGUGCGAGCGUUAAUCGGAAUUACUGGGCGUAAAGCGCAUGCAGGUGGUUUGUUAAGUCAGAUGUGAAAGCCCGGGACUCAACCUCGGAAUUGCAUUUGAAACUGGCAGACUAGAGUACUGUAGAGGGGGUAGAAUUUCAGGUGUAGCGGUGAAAUGCGUAGAGAUCUGAAGGAAUACCGGUGGCGAAGGCGGCCCCCUGGACAGAUACUGACACUCAGAUGCGAAAGCGUGGGGAGCAAACAGGAUUAGAUACCCUGGUAGCACAGAG
rnacentral:rRNA from 1 species